rnacentral:rRNA from 1 species
AUUGAACGCUGGCGGCAUGCUUUACACAUGCAAGUCGAACGGUAACAGGGUGCUUGCACCGCUGACGAGUGGCGAACGGGUGAGUAAUGCGUCGGAACGUGCCGAGUAGUGGGGGAUAACGCAGCGAAAGUUGUGCUAAUACCGCAUACGUACUGAGGUAGAAAGUGGGGGACCUUCGGGCCUCACGCUAUUCGAGCGGCCGACGUCUGAUUAGCUAGUAGGUGAGGUAAAGGCUCACCUAGGCGACGAUCAGUAGCGGGUCUGAGAGGAUGGGCCGCCCCACUGGGACUGAGACACGGCCCAGACUCCUACGGGAGGCAGCAGUGGGGAAUUUUGGACAAUGGGCGAAAGCCUGAUCCAGCCAUGCCGCGUGUCUGAAGAAGGCCUUCGGGUUGUAAAGGACUUUUGUCGGGGAGGAAAUCCCCAGCGUUAAUACCGCUGGGGGGUGACAGUACCUGAAGAAUAAGCACCGGCUAACUACGUGCCAGCAGCCGCCGUAAAAC